rnacentral:rRNA from 1 species
GGGGGAAUAUUGGACAAUGGGUGAAAGCCUGAUCCAGCAAUGCCGCGUGAGUGAUGAAGGCCUUAGGGUUGUAAAGCUCUUUUACCAGGGAUGAUAAUGACAGUACCUGGAGAAUAAGCUCCGGCUAACUCCGUGCCAGCAGCCGCGGUAAUACGGAGGGAGCUAGCGUUGUUCGGAAUUACUGGGCGUAAAGCGCACGUAGGCGGCUUUCCAAGUCAGGGGUGAAAUCCCGGGGCUCAACCCCGGAACUGCCCUUGAAACUGGAUGGCUAGAAUACUGGAGAGGUGAGUGGAAUUCCGAGUGUAGAGGUGAAAUUCGUAGAUAUUCGGAAGAACACCAGUGGCGAAGGC